rnacentral:ncRNA from 2 species
AGGAUGAAACAGGGGUGCCCUUAACAACAGAGUUUGUUGUAAGGCGCUGAGAAAGACCCUCUAACCCGAUCCAGGUAAUGCUGGCGUGGGGAGUUACAUCAGACCGACA